rnacentral:rRNA from 1 species
UAAGACGUAGGGAGCGAGCGUUGUCCGGAUUCAUUGGGCGUAAAGCGCGCGUAGGCGGCUACGCAAGUCGAAUGUGAAAACUCGGGGCUCAACCCCGAGCCUGCAUCCGAUACUGCGUGGCUAGAGGUAGGUAGGGGAGAUCGGAAUUCCUGGUGUAGCGGUGAAAUGCGCAGAUAUCAGGAGGAACACCGGUGGCGAAGGCGGAUCUCUGGGCCUUACCUGACGCUCAGGCGCGAAAGCUAGGGGAGCGAACAGGAUUAGAUACCCUGGUAGUCCUAGCCGUAAACGUUGGGUGCUAGGUGUGGGUGGACAUCGACCCCAUCCGUGCCGAAGCUAACGCAUUAAGCACCCCGCCUGGGGAGUACGGCCGCAAGGCUA